GAUGAACGCUGGCUACAGGCUUAACACAUGCAAGUCGAGGGGAAACGACGGGGAAGCUUGCUUCCCCGGGCGUCGACCGGCGCACGGGUGAGUAACGCGUAUCCAACCUGCCUCUGACUGAGGGAUAACCCGUCGAAAGUCGGCCUAAUACCUCAUGGCAUCGUCUGCGGGCAUCCAACGACGAUUAAAGAUUUCAUCGGUCAGGGAUGGGGAUGCGUCUGAUUGGCUUGUUGGCGGGGUAACGGCCCACCAAGGCUACGAUCAGUAGGGGUUCUGAGAGGAAGGUCCCCCACAUGGGAACUGAGACACGGUCCAAACUCCUACGGGAGGCAGCAGUGAGGAAGAUUGGUCAAUGGGCGGGAGCCUGAACCAGCCAAGUAGCGUGCAGGAUGACGGCCCUAUGGGUUGUAAACUGCUUUUAUGCGGGGAUAAAGUGAGGGACGUGUCCUUCAUUGCAGGUACCGCAUGAAUAAGGACCGGCUAAUUCCGUG
rnacentral:rRNA from 1 species